rnacentral:lncRNA from 1 species
AACAGUCAAAAAUCCCUAAUUAUCUAGAUCGAUUCAUACACUCAUAAGCGAUAAAAAGCAUUAAAUACAAGAACAAUUUAAAUAAGAUAAUAACAUUAAAAGUACUCAACAAAUCUCAAACAAACAUAUGAUUCAAUAGAGUCAAAAUAAGGUUCAUCUCAAAAAGGCAUAAUCUAGAGAAACUUAGCUACUCAUUUAUAUAUUAACAAAUAUCAUGAGUGGAGAAGUAUUCAUCAUGAAAAUUUAUGGAAGAAUUCCUCUCCAAUGACUCCAAUGUGCUUCAAAAU